rnacentral:lncRNA from 1 species
GUCAGGGUUUAGAGUAAGUGAAUUGGUUAUGUGGUCAAUGGAUGUAUAGACACCAGUCAUGUGUGUUGGGUUUGGCUGGAUAGGAAUAUGUUGGUUGGUGGGUUAGAUGAAAGAUUUUUGGAUAGUAGGUUGGUAAGUUGGUGUCCCUUAAGACAGUUAUGGUCAUGGCUCAAGUUAGAAGUGGAUGUGGUCACAGGUUAGAGUAGACAAUUUUUUUUCUGGGAUGGUUGUGGGUUAGAUGAGAGAUUAAGUGUACUGGAUAUUGAUCUGAGUUCUCGGACGGUAGAAUAGAGGCGUGAAGUUUUGAAGCCUUGGAAGUUUUGAAGUCUUGGAAGUGUACAUAUCGAGGAAGGAAGAGAGGAGUGAGAUUGGUUUUGUAGAGGAAGAGACUGUGACGCGCCGUCGCUUUGCCGUCGCUUUAAAGAGGCGAGACGGAAUCGAGUCCGAAGCUCGUUAUCGUGGAGGUUGAGACAUCGCAAGUUGAUUAACGAGCCAAGCUUUAAUGGGAUGUGUC